AUGAACGCUGGCGGCGUGCCUCAUACAUGCAAGUCGAGCGAACAGACGAGGAGCUUUCUCCUCUUACGUUUUCGGCGUACGGGUGAGUAACACUUUGUUAACCUACCUAUAAUACUGGGAUAACUUCGGUAAACCGGAUCUAAUUCCGGAUAAUAUAUUUAACCUCCUGGUUCAAUAUUUAAAGACGGUUUUUCUUUCACUUAUAGAUGGAUCCUCGCCGCAUUAGCUAGUUGGUAAGUUAACAGCUUACCAAGGCAACGAUGCGUAGCCGACCUGAGAGGGAGAGCGGCAAAAGUGGAACAGAGAGACGGAGAAGAGGACUACGGGAGGAAGCAGUAGGGAAUAUGACGAAAUGGGCGAAAGCAUGACGGAGCAACGCCGAGUGAGUGAUGAAGGACUUCGGAUCGUAAAACUGUGUUAUUAGGGAAGAAAAAAUGUGUAAGAAAAUAGGAACGUAUUGACGGUAACGAAUCAGAAAGCAACGGCUAACUACGUG
rnacentral:rRNA from 1 species